UACGAGGGAUGCAAGCGUUAUCCGGAAUUAUUGGGCGUAAAGCGUUUGUAGGCGGGCGAGUGUGUUUAAUGUUAAAUCUUAAAGCUCAACUUUGAAAUUGCGUUAAAAACUGCUUGUCUUGAGUAUGGUAGGGGUAAAGGGAAUUCCCAGUGUAGCGGUGAAAUGCGUAGAUAUCGGGAAGAACACUAAACAGCGAAGGCACUUUACUAGGCUAAUACUGACGCUGAGAAACGAAAGGUAAGGUAGCGAAACGGAUUAGAUACCCGUGUAGUCUUACCCGUAAACUAUGGACACUAAACGGUAAAUUUUUAAUUUACUGUUAAAGCUAACGCGUUAAGUGUCCCGCCUGGGGAGUAUGCUUGCAAAAGUGAAACUCAAAGGAAUUGACGGGGGCCCGCACAAGCGGUGGAGCAUGUGGUUUAAUUCGACGGUACACGAAGAACCUUACCAGGAUUUGACAUGCUAGAUAGUUGCUUGAAAGAGUAACGUGCCGUAAGGAAUCUAGACACAGGUGGUGCAUGGCUGUCGUCAGUUCGUGUUGUGAAAUGUUGGGUUAAGUCCCGCAACGAACGCAACCCUUGUCUUUAGUUAUUUUCUAAAGAGACUGCCUGUAAUAAACAGGAGGAAGGUAAGGAUGAGGUCAAGUCAUCAUGCCCCUUAUGUCCUGGGCUACACACGUGCUACAAUGGGAAAGACAAUGAGCUGCAAAUCUGUAAAUUUAAGCAAAUCUCUUAAACUUUCUCGUAGUUCGGAUUGUGGGCUGCAACUCGCCCACAUGAAAUUGGAAUCGCUAGUAAUCGCCAGUCAGCUAUAUGGCGGUGAAUCCGUUCCCGGGCCU
rnacentral:rRNA from 1 species